GUUUGAUCAUGGCUCAGAUUGAACGCUGGCGGCAGGCCUAACACAUGCAAGUCGAGCGGCAGCGGAAAGUAGCUUGCUACUUUGCCGGCGAGCGGCGGACGGGUGAGUAAUGUCUGGGAAACUGCCUGAUGGAGGGGGAUAACUACUGGAAACGGUAGCUAAUACCGCAUGACCUCGAAAGAGCAAAGUGGGGGAUCUUCGGACCUCACGCCAUCGGAUGUGCCCAGAUGGGAUUAGCUAGUAGGUGAGGUAAUGGCUCACCUAGGCGACGAUCCCUAGCUGGUCUGAGAGGAUGACCAGCCACACUGGAACUGAGACACGGUCCAGACUCCUACGGGAGGCAGCAGUGGGGAAUAUUGCACAAUGGGCGCAAGCCUGAUGCAGCCAUGCCGCGUGUGUGAAGAAGGCCUUAGGGUUGUAAAGCACUUUCAGCGAGGAGGAAGGCAUCAUACUUAAUACGUGUGGUGAUUGACGUUACUCGCAGAAGAAGCACCGGCUAACUCCGUGCCAGCAGCCGCGGU
rnacentral:rRNA from 1 species